AAUGAACGCUAGCGGCAGGCCUAACACAUGCCAGUCGAGCGCAUGCAGUGAGCUUGCUCCUGGCUUCAGCGUCGGACGGGUGUGUAAUGCCUAGGAAUCUGUCUGGUAUAAGGGGAUAACGUCUUGAAACGGGAGCUGUUACCGCAUACGUCCUGAGGGAGAAAGUUAGGGGUCGUCGGACGACGUGCUCGCGGAUGAGCCUAGAUCGGAUGAGCUAAUUGGUGGGGUAAAGGCCUACCAAGGCGCUGAUCCGUAACUAGUCUGAGAGGAUGAUCAGUCACACUGGAACUGAGACACGGUCCAGACUCGUAAGGGAGGCAGCAGUGGGGAAUAUUGGACAAGGGGCGAAAGGCUAAUCCAGCCAUGGCGCGUGUGUGAAGAAGGUCUUCGGAUUGUAAAGCACGAUAAGUUGGGAGGAAGGAAAGUAAGUUAAUACCUUGAUGUUUUGACGUUACCAAAAGAAUAAGCACCGGCUAACUUCGUG
rnacentral:rRNA from 1 species